UGCCAGACUCCUACGGGAGGCAGCAGUGGGGAAUAUUGCACAAUGGGGGAGACCCUGAUGCAGCGACGCCGCGUGAGCGAUGAAGUAUUUCGGUAUGUAAAGCUCUAUCAGCAGGGAAGAAGAUGACGGUACCUGACUAAGAAGCCCUGGCUAACUACGUGCCAGCAGCCGCGGUAAUACGUAGGGGGCAAGCGUUAUCCGGAUUUACUGGGUGUAAAGGGAGCGUAGACGGCGAUGCAAGCCAGAUGUGAAAGCCCGGGGCUCAACCCCGGGACUGCAUUUGGAACUGUGUGGCUGGAGUGUCGGAGAGGCAGGCGGAAUUCCUGGUGUAGCGGUGAAAUGCGUAGAUAUUAGGAGGAACACCAGUGGCGAAGGCGGCCUGCUGGACGAUGACUGACGUUGAGGCUCGAAAGCGUGGGGAGCAAACAGGAUUAGAUACCCGGGUAUUA
rnacentral:rRNA from 1 species